UUCAAUUUUUCAGUCUAAAAGUAAGGAAAAAAAGAAACCAUCACCUUUGCUGUCUGUGCUGUGUACGGGGUCGCCUGAACCGGCAGGCUGGAAAACCAUCUUUGAAUGUGAAAUGGUGAAAACUGGAAAGAAGAUGGCUGCCAUCGGAGAGGGCUGCUGUUAUUCACCCAGAUGUUUUAUGUCCCACCACCCCGAGUCCUGGCAGGGAGCAGAGUGGUAACCCCCGCUUGAGCUCUGCCGCCGUGGCACCACUGCACCAUAUCAGCGGGUGAGCCCCAAUCCUUGAGUGCUCAGGAGAAGUCAAAUGCUAAAACUUGGGAUGACCAGAAGACAGCUUCUUGUGAAGAAUGCAAGAACAAGAUAUAUCUGAAGUCUGUACGCAAUAGAUAAAAAUAUUUGCUCAGAAGCAGGAGUUUUGUGGGUUUUGUCAUGAUGUAAGAAUAAAUGACUACGAGUAUGAGCACAC